rnacentral:rRNA from 1 species
AACGUAGGAGACAAACGUUAUCCGGAGUUACUGGGCGUAAAGGGCGUGUAGGCGGUUAGUUAAGUCUGGCGUGAAAGCUCUCGGCUAAACCGGGAGAGGUCGUCGGAUACUGGCAAACUAGAGGACGGUAGAGGCGUGUGGAAUUCCGGGUGUAGUGGUGAAAUGCGUAGAGAUCCGGAGGAACACCGGUGGCGAAGGCGGCAUCCUGGACCGGCAUUGACGCUGAGGCGCGAAAGCCAGGGGAGCAAACGGG